UUACUUUUAAACAACAGUAACAAGUAAUACCUAAUGUAUUACAGUUUGGAAGUAACUUGCACAACACUGCUCACAACAUAAUAGAACUUUUUCAGUCAGGUUUUAUGUGGAUGACUCGCAGCUGUACUUGCCUCUAUAAUCAAUACAGACUCAAUACAAGUCUUGAAUACAUCAAAAGGUGGAUGGCUAACAACUUUCUCCAGUUAAAUGGUGACAAGACAGAAGUCGUAAUUUUUGAGCUCCCAAGGCAAGAUGCACUGUAGUGCAAAAUCUAGGUCACCCCUUGUGUCAAACCCUAUGCCAGAACCCGGGUGUCAUCCUUGACCCAGAACUCUGCCUUGAUAAACAGAUUAUCUCUGUUGUCAAAAAUGUUUUUUACCAGCUCAGAAUGAUCUCCUGCCUAAAAUCAUUCCUAUCUCACAAUGACCUUGAGAAAGUUAUCCAUGCGUUUAUUACAGCACAGCUGGAUUAUUGUAAUUCCCUCUACCUUGGCCUCCCCCAAUCCUCACUUAGAUGUUUGCAGUUAGUCUAAAACGCAGCUGCGCGUCUUUUAACUGGCCAUUCUGGCCUCCAUGCACUGGCUCCCAGUUCUUUUUAGGAUUCAGUUCAAAGUUGUAUUGUUUGUUUUUAAGGCACUAAAUGGGCUGGCCCUAACCUAUAUUACUGACCUUGUACAGCCAUACUCAGUUCAAAGGUCACUAAGAUCCUCAAACAAAGGACUCCUGCAUGUGCCGUGCUCACGGCUCAGAGGGGUGAUAGAGCUUUUGCAGUUUCUGCUCCACGUCUGUGGAACCAGCUCCCCCUGGAUAUUAGAUCCCAUUCUGCCCUCAAAUCCAGGCUAAAACCCCAUUUUUAUUCCCUGGCCUUCCUUGUGCCCUAACCCUGCACUCCUGCUCAUUUCUUUGUACAUAUAUUUGUGUUCUGUGCUUCACUGUACAGCACUUUGGUCAGUUUUAUGCUAUGUGUAAAUGUGCUUUAUAAAUUAAAUGUACUAUUUACUAAACCUCUAUGCAGCAUAUUUAUCUAUCUUUAAACCAAAUUUGUGUCUCCAGCCGACAAAGGCUAGAGCGCAAAAGGCUAGAGCGCAAAAGGCUAGAGCGCAAAGGGCUAGAGUCGCCGGUCUUUUAUGGCUGUUUGACUGCCUCUGGACUUCUAACCCAAAAAGUUUUAGACCCCGUUUACACUUAUUUAGUGUCGUCCACUUGUUAUCCGAUUGACAAACACAUCUUAAUACCAGGUGUAAAAAGAGCCCUAGAGAGCAAAUGGCAAAAACAGAAGAAGAGGUAAUCUGUUUCUCAAAUUUAAUCUUAAUUUCUCAAAAUAUCUUUUAUGUUAAUAUAGAACAAAGUCGUACAGGUUUGUAAUGAUAUGUAGGUGAGUAUGUGGCUGAACGGUUUACUUUCCAUCUCAGAAUUGGAAAUGUAGUUUAUAAUAUGUGGAAAUAUCUAUCUUCUGAAACUUGAGAUCUAAUUUAAUGCCUCCAGUAGGAUUUUUUGGGGGAAUCCCUAAACACCUGAAUUUCCUAGAGUCAUGUGAUUUUCCUCAAGGGUGUUGCAACAAGCACUUGUUCACAUUACCUGAGUAUUUAUAAGAACUUGGGUUAGUGCCUGUCCUGACAUGACAGUGUUUUGACUUCUCACGAAGUGCCUACACUGGAAGUUUGUAUCAAAGCUGUCUACACAGCAAAUGAGCAACACUGCAUGCCCAGUCGCUUACAGUGAAGACAGGUCUCCAUGUGCAUGACAUGAAAGUUUACAGAUGAAAUAUUCAUGGCACGUUCUCAAACAUCAUGCCUCUAACCUGUGAUAUUGUGCAAACGUGGUGUUAACGUCAUCAUUGGCAGUGAGUAACUGCUCUAUGAGCGGCUCCUCUGUCAGUCGGGGUAUGAGCUCCACCAUCCGGCCCUGCAUGUCCUUGCUCAUGGAGUACAGCUGCUACUGACCGCCAGAGAGAGUAGAGAAACAGCAACAGGCCAUCACAUUUAUACACUAGAGGAUGAGUGUGUACAUGCAGGAGAGAGUAAGAGUGUGUGUUUGAGUCCCAUUCCAACCUGUAGCAGCUCUGUGUCCGUCGGCUCGAGACUUCCAGGCUCCAUCUGACUCAUCAUGUCUGACAUCACAGAUAUAUUAUUACGCA